CUCCUCCCGGGACCUCCUCAGAGGGACAGGGGAAAAAGACAACUUGUAAUACUGCACCAAUCAACUUAAACAGCUCGUUAUUUUACCUGAAAAUACACACUACAUGGGGAAAGGCUUCUGCUUCAGCUCGUCUACAGUGCAGUUAAGCUUUUGAAAAACGACCUGACAUUUGGUAACUCAGAAGUGCGACUUUAACUCUGGCCUUUCACUGAAGGAUCUACAAGAUAAAAAAAGCUCCAAAUAAGGAAGAGCAUUCUCAACUAUGAGGUU